GGAUGAGGAAGCAGCUCAGAUUCGGUUUGGAGCCCGUGUUCGCUGCCUGGGGAGAUGGGUUUGCUUGGGCCUACAAUUUUGAAAGGAGCUGCUUUGAGGGAAGUGACAGAAAAUCUCCUGGUAGCUGUUCUCACUCUCCCUUUUCCUGUAAACCACUCGCUGCAAAUUUCUUCAUUAAAAGGC